GUUAAGUUGUAUUGUGUUGUUGAUUGCAAAAACUCGCGAAUUACGCUUUUUAUUCUUCUGCAAGUUAGGAUUCUUCACACUUUGGAUCACCAAAAUUUGCUCAAUUUUUAUUCAUGCUAGAGUGAUGGUUCCUAGGAAUCAUAUGCACUAUGUGGAAAACGGUAACUCUUCAUUGCAUCACAAAGGUAUGAGCAUGUAGAAAGCUAGCAUGGGGUGAAACAGGAUGAGAGUCUCAAUAAUUCAAACUGUGGUGAAGUCGUGCAGACUGCCUCAACUCCUACAACUGCCAAUUACUCUCUAGAAAAAGUAGAAACAUGAUUUGAUUUUUAUCCUUGUUUAUAAUGAUUGGUUUGUAUGAAAUUUGUGCAGAGAAAGAGUGUUUGUGCCGACUGUCGCACUUGAGUUAGAUUUUUUCUGUGCAACUGGAGUCACUUUUGAGAACACAGUGGUUGCAUCAGCAGGUGGCAAAGGAAUGCAGGUUGCUGAAGG